GGGUGCGAUCAUACCAGCAUUAAUGCACCGGAUCCCAUCCGAACUCCGCAGUUAAGCGCGCUUGGGCUAGAGUAGUACUGGGAUGGGUGACCUCCCGGGAAGUCCUGGUGUUGCACCCU
rnacentral:rRNA from 1 species